rnacentral:rRNA from 1 species
GGCAGAGGGUGCAAACGUUGUUCGGAAUUACUGGGCGUAAAGCGCGUGUAGGCGGCUAAGUAAGUCGGGCGUGAAAUCCCACGGCUCAACCGUGGAAGUGCACUCGAAACUGCAUAGCUAGAGUCCUGGAGAGGAAGGUGGAAUACUUGGUGUAGCAGUGAAAUGCGUAGAUAUCAAGUGGAACACCAGUGGCGAAGGCGAGUCCCUGGACAACUCCUGACACUGAGGCACGAAAGCUAGGGGAGCAAACAGG